UACGUAGGGUGCGAGCGUUAAUCGGAAUUACUGGGCGUAAAGCGUGCGCAGGCGGUUUUGUAAGCCAGAUGUGAAGUCCCCGGGCUUAACCUGGGAAUGGCAUUUGGGACUGCAAGGCUGGAGUGCGGCAGAGGAGACUGGAAUUCCUGGUGUAGCAGUGAAAUGCGUAGAUAUCAGGAGGAACACCGAUGGCGAAGGCAGGUCUCUGGGCUGACACUGACGCUCAUGCACGAAAGCGUGGGGAGCAAACAGG
rnacentral:rRNA from 1 species